GACGAACGCUGGCGGCGUGCCUAAUACAUGCAAGUCGAGCGAAUUGACGAAGAAAGCUUGCUUUCUUCUGAUGUUAGCGGCGGACGGGUGAGUAACACGUGGGCAACCUGCCCUUUAGUUUGGGAUAACUUCGGGAAACCGGAGCUAAUACCGAAUAAUACUCUUUGACUCAUGUCAAAAAGUUGAAAGACGGUUUCGGCUGUCGCUAAAGGAUGGGCCCGCGGUGCAUUAGCUAGUUGGUGAGGUAACGGCUCACCAAGGCAACGAUGCAUAGCCGACCUGAGAGGGUGAUCGGCCACACUGGGACUGAGACACGGCCCAGACUCCUACGGGAGGCUG
rnacentral:rRNA from 1 species